AGGGUUGUAGCUCAGCGGUAGAGCAACUCUUUUGCAUGCAGAAGGUCCCAAGUUCGAUCCCUUGCAUCUCCA